rnacentral:rRNA from 2 species
GCGACCCCAAGUCAGGCGGGACUACCCGCUGAG